rnacentral:misc_RNA from 1 species
ACACCCUCAAGCGCUGCUUGGUGUUGGGUGCCUGUCGCGCCCCGCGCGCCGACUCACCCCAAACGCAUUGGCGGCGGCCCGUGCCCCUCCCGCGCAGCACAUUGCGCUUCUCGAGGCGGCGGGACCGCGUCCACGAAGCCGACACCCGU